rnacentral:rRNA from 1 species
CUACGGGAUGCAGCAGUGAGGAAUAUUGCGCAAUGGGGGAAACCCUGACGCAGCGACGCCGCGUGAGUGAGGAAGGCCCUCGGGUCGUAAAGCUCUGUCAAGAGGAAAGAAGUGCAUAGUAGUUAAUACCUGCUAUGUUUGACGGUACCUCUAAAGGAAGCACCGGCUAACUCCGUGCCAGCAGCCGCGGUAAUACGGAGGGUGCAAGCGUUGUUCGGAAUCACUGGGCGUAAAGGGCGCGCAGGCGGCCUGGUAAGUCAGAUGUGAAAGCCCACGGCUUAACCGUGGAAGUGCAUUUGAAACUGUCAGGCUUGAGUACCAGAGGGGAAAGUGGAAUUCCCGGUGUAGAGGUGAAAUUCGUAGAUAUCGGGAGGAAUACCGGUGGCGAAGGCGACUUUCUGGCUGAGUACUGACGCUGAGGCGCGAAAGCGUGGGGAGCAAACAGGAUUAGAUACCCCUGUAGUC